GAUGUUGCUGUGUGUGCGUGUGUGUGUGUGUGUGUGUGUGUGUGUGUGUGUGAUAAAUAAGCAAAAUUGUUUUCCUGGGACUCCAUCCAGGAACAUUAGAUAUGGGGUCCAGCCCCAGCGCACAGGAAACCCUGCUCAGGCAGAUGGUGUGGGAGAGCGAGGUUGUGCUUUGAUGCAUGGGGUAGAGGAACCCUAGGAGGCACUGAGACCUCGGUGGCUGUCCCAGGCUCUGUCCUCCCUGCAUAUGGCCUCAGGCAGCUCAAGGCUUAGCUUCCCACUGGCCUCCUCCCUCCCGGACACUCACGCAUUUCAGGUCUGACGGGUACCCGCCACCCAAUCCCUCUUUCUUUUGACGGGUACCCGCCACCCAAUCCCUCUUUCUUCUGAUGUCGACAGGAUCAAGCACAAGCCUCCUUGGCAGGGAUGAGGGGUCCUCAGGUCUGGCUGGGCCCACCUGGCUGCUUCCUGGUCUCUACCACAUGCCCCAGCCUCACCCCACGGCCCGCCCAGCACCCGCCAGGCAUGCAGUGGCCCCUCUCUUCUCCUCGACAACUGCGUGCUGUUCCCGGCAGACCCUUGCGUUUCCUGUUCUCUGCCUGGAAAGCCAUGUCUUGUUCUCCACGCCCAGUUCUGAUGUCACCUUUCUCACACCCAGGAGUCCUCUGUGACCUGGGAGGGGGCCCACUCCCCCUACCCUCAGCGCUGGGCACUGGCUUGUGAUGGUCUCCUGGCCACAUGGGGAGCUCCUCGAGGGCAAGGCCUGGGAACAUCUGGAGUCAGUGAACACAGCAGGAAGGGGGGAUGGUCAAGCGCACCACAGGCUUGGAAGCAGACACGCCCAGUUCAAGCCCCACUCCAGCCCUCCUCAAGUGGGUCACUCCUCACGGCCUGUGAGUUCACCUCUUCAUCUGAGCUCGCUUCAGAUGACGCCCCCAGUGCCAGCAUAUCAUCCAAACGCCUACUUCCCACUUCUGGGAACUUCUCGCUCCCAGAUUCAGAAACUGUCCUGGGGCACCAGCAGGUGGGUGCGCAGGUACACGUGAGUCCAGGCUUCCCAGAGGUACGGGCUGCCACCCUUCAGGCCGUGGCCUGGGUCAGGCGCUGUGGAGAGUGGAGCAGGAUGAGACCAGCUGCUGUCCUGGAGGGGCUCAGGGCUGGGCCAGGUGGCAGGACCUGGGAGGCACCCAGGAGAGCUGCUCUAAGGGAGACGUUGUGUGCACUGCGGAAAUGCACGGGGCCAGUGGCGCAUGGAGGGGCAGGGAAGGACUGAUCAGAAAGGCUGUGUGUGAGCAGAGCCUUGAAGGGAGGGAGGAUUUUGAUGCGUCGAAAGGGCAGGCAAGAAACAGCUCUGGGAAGAGCUCAGUCUGUCUGGAUCAACUUGUUUUGUCUAGAACUUUCCAUGUGUGAAAGGCAACAUGGGAAAUAAAUUCCUCAUGGCUAGGACAUGGGUUAAGGGGGAGGAAUACCAUGGGCUGGGCAGGGAGGAGCUACCAUAGUGUUUCUAAAGAAGACUUUAUGGUUUCAAAGCAGUCUUAGGCUCACAGCAAAAUAGAGUGGAAAGUGCAGAGAGUUCCCAUAUCCCCUCAGCCCACAAACGCACAGCCUCCCCCAUGAUCAGCAUCCCCACCAGAGGGUACGUCUGUCGGCUGAUGAACCCACACUGACGAGUCAUCACCCACAUUCCAUAGUGUACGUUAGGGUUCACUCUUGGUAGCAUACAUCCUGUGGGUUUGGACGACUGUGUAAUGACACGUAGCCACCGCUAUAGUAUCACACGGAGUAGUUCCACUGCCCUAAAAGUAGUCUAAGCUCCAUCCAUAUACCUCUCCCUCCCCACACCAUAGUGACUUGAGCAGGGGAAGAGUGGGGCCAAGCCUGGCCUCCAGAAGCCAUCGGCCUCCAGAAGCCGUCAGCCUCCAGAAGCCGUCAGCCUCCAGUCCAGAGUGGCACAGCCAGCAAGCUUCACAGCGACUUCCUUCCAGGAGGACCAGGUGCAGCUAGCACUGCUGCAAGCCAAGUAGGACACCAACCCCUUUUUAUUGUUCCUGGGCUAUAAGGUCACGGACUUGCUUUCCCCCUCCUGACUGAUUCCUGCUGGCUCCAGGGCAGAUAUGCCCACGUCCCUGCACCCCGAGGGCUGCUCCUCAUGGCAGCAAAGCCCAGCCAGGGCAGCCUGAGAUGGGGUUGGGGGAGACAAGGAAAUGAAUGACUGCUCAGUGUGUGUGCCCCUUCAAGGUUUAGCAAGCUCCCCGCACACCCACCUUCUUGACCCAGCCAGAGGUGAGGACCUUAGGCUGCAUCCGUCGGCCCCUUCUGCCCUGGGGUGGGAGGCCGAAGCUAUUCAGUGCGGGUCAGGAGGGACAGCAUCAGUCAUGUGAGCACAGCUAGGCAGGCCUCAGGGAGGCUGGCUUGGUAGGUGUGUAUCUUGUCCUGUCCAGGGGAGACGAACAGGUCUGGGGCCCUAAACACCUUGACCCCUGGAGAGAUGAAGUGUUCCCCCCCACACCACCCUCCUGUCCUUGUUCAGACUCCUCUGGCUCCAAUUCCAGCUCCCAGGAAACUUCACACCUCGAGAGGAUGUGACCUGGGUUAAGGUGAUGGCCUUCUGGAAACUGGAAGAGAACACCCCUCCAUGGCAGGUAACAAGAGACGCUUCAUCUUCAAGUCUUUUCUUCUGUCCAGAAAGCACUCAGAGAAAUUACAAUAAUAAAGUUAGUCCAUUAUA
rnacentral:lncRNA from 1 species